rnacentral:rRNA from 1 species
UACCAGACUCCUACGGGAGGCAGCAGUGAGGAAUAUUGGUCAAUGGCCGUAAGGCUGAACCAGCCAAGUAGCGUGAGGGAAGACUGCCCUAUGGGUUGUAAACCUCUUUUAUGCGGGGAUAAAGGUGUCCACGUGUGGAUGUUUGCAGGUACCGCAUGAAUAAGGACCGGCUAAUUCCGUGCCAGCAGCCGCGGUAAUACGUAGGGAGCAAGCGUUAUCCGGAUUUAUUGGGUGUAAAGGGUGCGUAGACGGGAAAUUAAGUUAGUUGUGAAAUCCCUCGGCUCAACUGAGGAACUGCAACUAAAACUGAUUUUCUUGAGUGCAGGAGAGGUAAGUGGAAUUCCUAGUGUAGCGGUGAAAUGCGUAGAUAUUAGGAGGAACACCAGUGGCGAAGGCGACUUACUGGACUGUAACUGACGUUGAGGCACGAAAGUGUGGGGAGCAAACAGGAUUAGAUACCCUAGUAUA